rnacentral:tRNA from 1 species
CGGGAUGUGGCUCAGCUUGGUAGAGCGCCGGGUUCGGGACUCGGAGACCGCGCGUUCGAAUCGCGCCAUCCCGA